UACGUAGGGAGCAAGCGUUGUCCGGAAUCAUUGGGCGUAAAGCGCGCGUAGGUGGCCCUGUAAGUCCGUUGUGAAAGUCAAAGGCUCAACCUUUGAAAGCCGAUGGAUACUGCAGGGCUAGAGUACGGAAGAGGCGAGUGGAAUUCCUGGUGUAGCGGUGGAAUGCGCAGAUAUCAGGAGGAACACCAAUAGCGAAGGCAGCUCGCUGGGACGUUACUGACACUGAGGCGCGAAAGCGUGGGGAGCGAACAGG
rnacentral:rRNA from 1 species